UUGUACUCAGGUUCUGUCAAGAAGCCUAGUAUAUACCUCUUAUAAGGUAAAUAGUAUGUAGUGUAUUACUGUAAAAGGGUUUCGGGUGUCAGGGAAAGAUACUGGGAAACGGAGAGACCAUAUUGUUUACGUAUCGAGCAAUGUAUGGUUGAUUCUUCAUGCUGGGGCUUGUCGACUUUCACGCCGUGCAUCUAUCCAGUGUUAUGUUCUUGUUGCCACAAAUUAAUCACGGUUCACCCAGUAUUAUAAUAAUCAUGGCGGCAUCAUUGCCAGUCUUGGCUUGAGUCUUACCUAUUGGCUUAAGUCUUCUAACAUAAUACUAUAUUGAUGCUGGUUAUGAAUUGAAUCGCCAUCGUGUUUUUCCUCAGAUUUAUAUAUACGUUUCAAGGUAAUAUCAGUAUGUAAAAGUCUCUCUCUCUCUCUCUCUCUCUCUCUCUCUCUCUCUCUCUCUCUCUCUCUCAUGCUACAUGGAACUGGGUUGUUUGAUUUCGUAUAUCUGCAGGGUUGGACCUCCUCUCUAUUCAUUAAAAACACAUUGCAGCGUGAUAGAGUACUUACUAUAGAACAUGUCUGUGAUGUUUUCAAUGUGGGGAAGGCUUUUGUAAGGCCAUAGUAAUUAAAUUAAUAGCGCGCCGCCUCCAGAAACUAAGUCCACAAUCAUCCCUUCCGAGUGAAGCUACACAAAUUAAUGCGUGUGUUCGUGUGUUGGUAAGUGUGUGGCGCACGCAGCUGGAGCGUGACGUCGUCAAUUCACGUGAUAAUACAUCUGUCAAUCACCAUACAAUACGUGUGAUCUCUUAGUCACGGCUGGCAAGGGUGGCCUGCUGAUAUACGAGUACUCUUAGUUGUGCCAUGGCGGGAGAUGGGUGUGCUGACUGCGAUUACGGAUUAUUUGCAGUUUUACCCGCAUUUUAUAAUAUCUCCACAGCAACCGUAAACGAGAUGGCCUGCCUCUACCCUCCUCACCAUGAGAGCUUCUCUCAGCUAAGUUAUGAGAUAGUAUAUACAUCCUAACCUUACCUUAGUCCCAUGAAUACCUUGCACAAACAGGGCUCAUCGUGCUGCCAAAGAAUGGUCCUCUGGAGGUUCAUGGUCUCAGGGCAUUCCAUUCUCACCUUAGUCAACUUUUUAUAGCACACAUUAUAAUUAUACUUUGUUUUACCAGUCAGGAAUGACCAUAGAUAUUUAUUUUUCAUUAUAGCUUCUGGUAACAAAAAAAUUAAAUAAAUAAAUAAAUAGCGGCAGCUUGCACAUAAUUGUGAAAGUAUUUUCCAUACUUGCAGUCACAGACUGAAGCUUGAAUCAUUUUACUUUGACAACCUACUUGUCUGAGACCAUAUUAUGUAGUACACUUUAAAAAUACCAAUCACCAUAGAAAAAUAUACAAACAACAUUUAUCAUUUUAAUAUUUGAAACAAAAAAUAUCUUAUUAUACUCACCAUUGUUACUUACAUAUUAUUAAUAUUGAGUAUUCUUAAAAUGUAUUUUGUUCUUGGGCUCAGGCAUGUGUUGACAGGUACAUUGACAGAAUUUAGUGAUGCAGCUUUCAGCUCCUGUGACUGCUAUAAACUAGCCAGUGGGAGCCAAAGUUAUUGUGUUUUAACAUUGAAACAGCCAGCUGGAAAGCAUGCCCCAUUUGUUUCAUAACUUAUCUUCAGCUAAUCUCAUCCUUCAGGGAAUACCCAGAAUACACACCUUUCCAAUUGUUUUUGUCCUUACACUCCAUUCUUCUCAUGGUCUGAUUCCUCCUUUCUGAAGUAUUCAAACAUUCCUAACAUUUUAUCUGCAUUCUUCCUCAUACUCUCAAAUCAUCUACUCUUCAUCCAUCAUAAUUUCAUCCAUCGUCUCAUUCAGGUAUUCUAAGGUUACCUUUGUAUCUAUUUUAUCCUUCCUCUCUUAUUUUAGAAUUGUCUGUACCUUUGCAUCCAUUUUAUCCUUCCUCUCUGAUUUUAGAAUUGUCUACAUUUUAUAGAGCUGCUUCUCAUCAUUCACUGUUUUCUGCCAUAUGGUGCUUGGACUUGGUGCCAUGUACUGUAUGAAUGUUCAUUUAUUCCUGUCCUUUGCAUCUUUUGUUAUUCCUAUUCUUUGCAACUGCAUUUUUAAGUUCAUGAGUCUCAUUCUGUCUCCAGCAAUUUCCUGCCUUCAGCAGAUGUUAUUUAUAGGUUCUUCAUUUGGUGCAGAUAAUGAAACCAUAUCCACUUCUGUUUCCAUACCACCUCUCUUUCUCCCUCAUUUUUGUUACCAAAGAAUUUUCUUUCCUCGCAUUAUGCCCUUUCAUGCUUUCAUUUUUUCUUCUCACCAAGAUUUUGAUGUCUACAUACUUAUUCCUUCCCUUGUAUGUUCCUGUCAUUCAGUUUCUUUCCAUCUCCAAGCUCUGUCCUUGUAUACUCUGAUACUUUCUCCUCUUGCAUAUUUCACAUACUCCAUCAUUAUUUACUUUCCUUUUAUUCUUUUCUUUACAUCUAAUCAUGUCAGUCUUUUCUGCCCUUUUCUCUUUAUGCUCCAACAUUAUCCUUCCAUAUCAUUGGAGGUCAUCCUCCUGGACCCACUACAUUUGCAUACCUUCAUGUAUAUUGUGUGUGUGUACACAUUAGUUUUAAUUUCUUCAGCCUUUGUGGACCUUCCAAACUUAAUGACCUUAAAACUUUUACCAGUGUACUGGUAUAUUUGAGGCAUUAUCAUUUCUUCAAUAACAGGAAGGACUGAGAGGAAAUAAGUAUUUUCUUAUAUUUAUUGUUGUUCAUUACUUCAAAUGUACAUAUACAUAGGUAUUUUUAUUACUUAAAUCCUGCAUAAAUACUAUAUAUUAGUUAUAUAAAAAAAAAAAUCUACUUACAUGAUGAUAAAAUACAUUUCAACAGAUUAUUUGAUGGCCUGUGUUCCUCGGGGGAGAGCAUUGCAACUAGCUUUGCCAGCUGCCAACAAUUCCCUGUGAAGAGGAUAAGAUGGCUACAGAGAGGAGCAGCUGCAUUUCUUCCUUGAGGGAAGGAUGUUGUGCAUGAGCAUGGUGUUGAUAUUAUCAGUGGAGUGAAUACACCAGAGAAAAGAAAUAAGAUAAUAGAGUAGAAAGUUUUAAAAUGGGGAGUUAAAUUAUAAUCUAUAUAAAUGAUACAGGAUGUUGGUCAGUGGAAUGUACAAGCAAGGUUGGAAUGUAAUGAUACAGGAUGUGUGGGCCAGUGGAAUGUACAAGCAAGAUUGGACGUAAGGAUGAGUGGUGUAGUAUGGCAUGGAUGAGGAAAACGGGCUAGGAGGAAAGAAAGAUAUGCACUUAGUGCAUGAGUGGAGAGGACCAAGAAUAGUGGAGACAGUUGAGAUGCUAGGGAAUGUGUGUGCAGAGAGAAUUUUGGAAUUAUCUAAAUUAGUGCCUGAGUAAAAUUAGGAAAGGAUGAAGGAAAAUCUUCACUAGAAAUGAAAGGGAAAGGUUUGAAGUUACAAAAUAACUAACUGCAAGAGGGACAGCAUUAAGAAGGUGUUUGGUAUAGCAGGCUGAGAGAAGAAUGGGAAGUGCAUACUGGACAGCUGAAAAAGUCAUUAGAGAAUAGAGUACAGGAGUUGUUAUGAACACAAAACACCAAAGUGAAGUGAGGAAGAGAACUCUGUAAUUGUCUUACAAAAGGUGAAUGAUGUUGCUGGAAGAGCUACAUGGCUACGUUCUUGUCCAAUGCUUUGAAUGACAACAUUGUUUAGUGUUUUAAUAUGCUUGCUUGGAGAAACAUGUACUUUACGAAGUGCUUAUGAUCUUAAUCCCCCCUGUCCCUGCAGCUGCGAGUUAUGCACACAUUUCCAUGUGCAAAUUUCCCCUAUUAUCUGAGAUAUGCAUAAGGGAUUCUAUCUAAUAUUGUAUAAGUCAUUGGAUGCUGCAGAUUAAGGACCAAUACUAGGAAAAUUUAAUGUUAAACAAGAAUUAAUCCAGUAAUAUGCCAUCUAGUUCCUGAGCUGCUUCUAUAGAGUCUGGGAUACCUCCCCAAAGAUUUCAGGGGAUUUUCCCAUGGAAAUAUGUGAGUGUAACUCUCAGCUGCAAAGGUAGUUUAACUACUUAAUAAGUACACAUUUCUACAAGCAAGCAUGAUAAAAACUGCCUGUUGCUGUCAUUCAAAGCAUCAGCCAAGAACUCGCUGUCAUUCAAAGCAUCAGCCAAGAACUCUAUGUUGCCAUACACUGCUUUUUCUGGUGCAGUUUUUCCAUGGUGUAUACAGUGGCCAGAUUGACAACAAUAAAGUUUCACAACACCCUCUCAUUAUAUAGGGGUCAGCAGCUGUGUCAGUCUAAUGUCUCCCACUUUGAGAUGCUGAUCUCUGCACAUUUUCACUUCCCUGUAUCCCACUUGAUAUAUGUGAUGAUGGAUGUUUUUUCCAUAAUUGAACAGAAGGAUUGUGUAGAUUAUAGCUGCUAACAGAUAUUCAAAUUGCUUUUUCAUGAAAAUGUAAAUAAAAACAGUGGUUUGUAAUAGUCAAGUCCUUCAGAAUAGGAUGAUCUUAACAGAUUUUAGUGUCCAACAGAUUUUAGUUUGGACACAAAGGAGAUGGUAAGAUGAUACUUUCUUAUCUUUGGUGGUAGGCACAGGACAUAGCAGUUAAGCAUGUGGAAAGUCAUAAUGAGCUAUUAUUCUCCUGUGCCUACAGCUGUGCCUACAGCUUGGAAUACAAAAAAUUGCCUACCACUUUUCCUUUCUGCCUAAUAUCUAUCUCCUGUGCCUACAGCUUGGAAUACAAAAAAUUGCCUACCACUUUUCCUUUCUGCCUAACAAGUAUUUGAUGGUACCAUUGUCCUGGGAAACUUACCAUAAACCACUGUAUUUAUAUAUACUAAAUAUUACUUACACCAUAUAUAAUGAAGAAAGAGUUAAGUUAUUGUGGCCAGUGGUAUGUAAACAUUGUGACAUGAAAGGAGAAUUAAAAGCGAGAGGACCAAGAAAGGUAGGCAUACAAGUAUCAUGGGAUCACUUGCAUGAGUUACCAGAGAAAAAUGAUGUCUGAAGAGGUUUAAGGAAUAGUAUUCUACCAAUAAUGAAUUAUGGAAUAGGAUGGAGCAAGACGGCAGUUGAGUACAUGCAUGAUGAAAUGACAAAUGAGGUGACAAAAUGGAGGAUGAGAGUUGUGAAAAUGUCCAAGUGAUGCAGUAAGAACACCCAUACUAAAGGAGUAAAGUGGUGGUCCUAACAGAAGGCUGCUAUUUUUAUCUUCCUCUCUUGCGUGAUUUCUUGCCUCUUCUCCAUCUUCCUCUUUUCUUCAUAAUAAUCUUUUUUUCUUCUCUUCCAUCCCUUUCCUUUUCUUUCUUUUUUUGUCUUCUUUCUAGCUCUUGUGGAGUUGCACUGUGGGAAAAGGAGCCAGUGAGAAGUUCUGAGAAAAAGGAGUGGGCAGAAUGGGCCACUUCAACAACUUGAUCUUAGCAGUAAUGUCUGUACACUAUUAUAAUAUCUGUACACUUAUAAUAUUUAAACAAUGUAUAAUAUGGUAAAUAAAAUCUAUAUCAAU